GCUCUGCUUCGAGGGAACCCAGACGAAGACAAUCUCUUACCACUAAGACAGUUCCCUCCCACCUUAAGUGUGACGCCACUUGGAGGCACCCAAGUCUGUCUCCUGCACUGGGUUGUAAGCUCUUUGAAGCUCCACAGUACUCAGCACAGUGCUCUCAGACCGAGCUCCCUGUCCUUGGCGCGGAUCUCGUCGCGUUGCUUGUCCACCACCUCCUUCAGCUUCUUCAUCACUUGCCGCUCACGCUCUGACAUGCCUGGGGUGGGGCGAGCGAGACCAGCAGUUCUGGAAGCCAGAAGUUGAAAAUCAGUCCAAAGUCAAGAUGUUGCCGGAACUGUGCUCGCUCCGGAGGUUUCAGGGGAGAACGGGUCCUUUCUUUUUCCAGCUUCUGGUGGCUGCCAGCGUUCCUUGGCUUGUGGCCUCAUCACUCCAGUCCUUGCCUCCGUGGUCCCACGGCCUCCUCCUCUUCUGUGUGUGAGACCUCUCUGUGCCCCCCUCUUGUAAAGACACUUCGAUUGCAUUUAGGACCUGAAUAAUUCAGGAUAACCUCCCCAUCUCAAGAUCUGAAACGAAAUCACAUCUGUAAAGAUUUUACCGUAUAAAGUAACAUCCGCAGGUUUCAGGGAUUAGGGCCUGAUAUUUUGGGGGACCAUUAUUUGGCCUCCUCCAGGCACCGGGGCAGACAGCUAAUCCUUGCUUCCCAGGAGCAGUGGUGGUCAGGCUCAACCGCAGGCUAACUUGGUUCUCCUGUGUUCAGGGGGCAUGGGGCUGAUGUUCCAGGCAUCUGAGAAGAGUCGUUUCUUCUGUGUGUGACUCCUCCACUAUUCCCCUGACACGACUCCCUCGUCCAAGCUGCUCCAUCCCAUCUGAAUCUUUCCCCUCCCCUGCCCUGGAUAUUCCCAAGCAGGUAAUCACCAUGAAGAACGAGCAUCUGUGGUGUCCAGAAAGGUGUGUGAUGCUGCCGGGGCCACAAACCCAGCUAAGACGUGGGUCCUGCCCUUGAAGAUUUUGAGAUUUUAUGUGACAGGCACAAACGCGGAUGUCCCAGAGGGCGGCCAUCCUGCCCCAACCGUCUGUAUGCUAGGGUUCCGCGUGGGAGACGCUCCGGGCUGAUGGAAUAGCCCGGGGGAGUCAGUCCCCCCAGACAUGCACGUUCCCAAAGCACAACUCACUCCCACUAAGCCCAUGAAGGACAAACUGCUUUACAUCCCUGCCCCUAUUUUAGUGUUGUUUCCAGCCACUGGGAAUGGGUGUUAUUACUGUUGGUUUUUAAUGUAUUUUUUUAAAGAUUUAUUUAUUUAUUUAUUUGAGAGAGAGAAUGAG